UUGUCCAGACCGAGAAGAUGAUGACAGAGAGGAGACGUCACCUGGAGGCCCUGGAUGUGACAGCACAUCAAUUACGUUUGCGGUUACAGCUGAGGAUUUCAUCAAUUUCAAUGGAUGGGUGAGAUCUGUGUCAAAGACGCACCAAUUCUGCACUUAGACAUCGAGAAGUUUGAUGCACACACAAUUUUUUUUUCCACUAUGCAAUGCCCUUCUUCCUCCUCUACUCCUCUGCUACAGGAAGAAACCUACAGAGUAGAGGACUCGAGCAGCGUGGGUGCAGCUUAACAUGUACAGCAGCAGUUAGGUCUUUAAAGAUUGCACCCACUCCGCAGCAAGCACCAUGCCCGAACGGUGCCUGCUGUUUCACAAAGCAGAUACCCAGAGCCAAUGU